UACGAGAGGCCCAAACGUUAUUCGGAAUUACUGGGCUUAAAGAGUUCGUAGGCGGCGCAGAAAGUAGGGUGUGAAAGCCCUCGGCUCAACCGAGGAAUUGCGCUCUAAACUACUGUGCUUGAGGAAUCUAGAGGUGAGCGGAACUGAUGGUGGAGUGGUGAAAUGCGUUGAUAUCAUCAGGAACACCGGAGGCGAAGGCGGCUCACUGGGGAUUUUCUGACGCUGAGGAACGAAAGCCAGGGGAGCGAACGGG
rnacentral:rRNA from 1 species